rnacentral:rRNA from 1 species
AACGCUGAGGCGUGACGACGAGGCACUACGGUGCUGAAGUGAUAAAUGCCCAGCUUCCAGGAAAAGCCUCUAAGCAUCAGGUAACACAGAAUCGUACCCCAAACCGACACAGGUGGUCAGGUAGAGAAUACCAAGGCGCUUGAGAGAACUCGGGUGAAGGAACUAGGCAAAAUGGUGCCGUAACUUCGGGAGAAGGCACGCUGGCGCGUAGGUGGAGGGACUUGCUCCCCGAGCCGAAGCCAGUCGAAGAUACCAGCUGGCUGCAACUGUUUAUUAAAAACACAGCACUGUGCAAACACGAAAGUGGACGUAUACGGUGUGACGCCUGCCCGGUGCCGGAAGGUUAAUUGAUGGGGUUAUCCGUAAGGAGAAGCUCUUGAUCGAAGCCCCGGUAAACGGCGGCCGUAACUAUAACGGUCCUAAGGUAGCGAAAUUCCUUGUCGGGUAAGUUCCGACCUGCACGAAUGGCGUAAUGAUGGCCAGGCUGUCUCCACCCGAGACUCAGUGAAAUUGAACUCGCUGUGAAGAUGCAGUGUACCCGCGGCAAGACGGAAAGACCCCGUGAACCUUUACUACAGCUUGACACUGAACAUUGAGCCUUGAUGUGUAGGAUAGGUGGGAGGCUUUGAAGCGCGGACGCCAGUUCGCGUGGAGCCAACCUUGAAAUACCACCCUUUAAUGUUUGAUGUUCUAACGUAGGCCCGUUACCCGGGCUGCGGACAGUGUCUGGUGGGUAGUUUGACUGGGGCGGUCUCCUCCUAAAGAGUAACGGAGGAGCACGAAGGUCAGCUAAUCACGGUCGGACAUCGUGAGGUUAGUGCAAUGGCAUAAGCUGGCUUGACUGCGAGAGUGACGGCUCGAGCAGGUGCGAAAGCAGGUCAUAGUGAUCCGGUGGUUCUGAAUGGAAGGGCCAUCGCUCAACGGAUAAAAGGUACUCCGGGGAUAACAGGCUGAUACCGCCCAAGAGUUCAUAUCGACGGCGGUGUUUGGCACCUCGAUGUCGGCUCAUCACAUCCUGGGGCUGAAGUAGGUCCCAAGGGUACGGCUGUUCGCCGUUUAAAGUGGUACGCGAGCUGGGUUUAGAACGUCGUGAGACAGUUCGGUCCCUAUCUGCCGUGGGCGCUGGAGAAUUGAGGGGGGUUGCUCCUAGUACGAGAGGACCGGAGUGAACGCACCACUGGUGUUCGGGUUGUCAUGCCAAUGGCAUUGCCCGGUAGCUAAGUGCGGAAAAGAUAAGUGCUGAAAGCAUCUAAGCACGAAACUUGCCCCGAGAUGAGUUCUCCCUGACUCCUUGAGAGUCCUGAAGGGACGUUGAAGACUACGACGUUGAUAGGCCGGGUGUGUAAGCGCAGCGAUGCGUUGAGCUAACCGGUACUAAUGACCCGUGAGGCUUAACCUUACAACGCCAGAGGCGUUU